CGUCUAGGCGGCAAUGCAAGUCAUGCGUGAAAGCUCCUGGCUCAACUAGGAGAGUGCGUGUGAAACUGCAUGGCUAGAGUCUUGGAGGGGUGCGUGGAAUUCCCGGUGAGUGAUGGAAUGCGUUGAGAUCGGGAGGAACACCAGAAGCGAAGGCGGCGCACUGGCCAAGAACUGACGCUGAAGCGCGACAGCGUGGGGAGCAAAC
rnacentral:rRNA from 1 species